UACGUAGGAGGCAAGCGUUAUCCGGAAUGACUGGGCGUAAAGGGUGCGUAGGUGGUUUGAUAAGUUGGUAGCGUAAUUCCGAGGCUCAACCUCGGCGCUACUACCAAAACUGUCGGACUUGAGUGCAGGAGGGGCAAAUGGAAUUCCUAGUGUAGCGGUGGAAUGCGUAGAUAUUAGGAGGAACACCAGUGGCGAAGGCAGCAUACCGGCGCGCAACUGACGCUCAUGCACGAAAGCGUGGGUAUCGAACAGG
rnacentral:rRNA from 1 species